UACGUACCAAGUCAUUAUCAGCAGGUCUUACAUAAAUUCAUCCUGUUCUCUCUGCUCCAGGCAUGGGCAGCUGGAGGGCAAGUGUGCUGCUGGCUACUUCUGCCUCGCUGGGAGCUCGCAGUCUGCUCCACAGGGCCCUGGCUUUUCCUGGCGCUUUCUGUCUGGAUGCCGCUGGGGCCAGGUGUGUGCUGGGCUGUGUCCUGCAGGUUUCUAUUGCCUGGAGGGCUCUGAGGUGCCCACACCAUGUCCUUCCAAUACUAUCAGAGAUGUUCCAGGGGCUGGGCGGAAAGAAGACUGCCUGCCCUGUCCACCCGGCCGCUGGUGCAAAGCAGGUGGGACUUGGGGGAAUGAUGAGGGGGAGGGAAUGAGAGUUGCUUUUCACGUAUCCCUGAAUCUGGUCAGGCUAGCUUUGGUAUCAGCUACUGUGCUGUGGGACAGUCCUUUACAGUCAAUUACAGUGAAAGGAUGGCUCCUUAAAGCUUGGUUUUCUGUUUGUUAGGGGACUCAGAGGCUUAUCCAUGUCCCUCAGGACACUAUUGCCUUGGAGGUAACGUCAGUGACCAAAGCAGUCUCCUGGCACCUCAGAAAUGCCCUCCACACACUUACCGCAAACACCCUGGAGCUCAGAGUGUGGCAGAUUGCCAGCCGUGUCCUCCGGGCUAUCACUGCCCUUUAUCAGGUAAGUGCCAGAUGAAAGCCCACCCUCUCCCACCACUGGAGCUGAUUACAAAACUCCCCAAGACGAGAUAGGGAAGGGGAGAGGUUAGUUCAUGUUCACAGUGAGCUUAGAGCUCUUCUCUAAAACACCUCCCGGCCAUUCAGCCUCCUUUUCUUCAUUCUUUUCUCUUCCCAACAGGUCUGACCAGGUUUGAGGAUUAUCCAUGCCCCCUGGGAUACUGGUGCCCUGGUAAAGGGGACGCUUUCCUUUGUCCACCUGGUACUUCCAGGAGCCAGCCUGGUGCAAAAUCACUGGAAGAGUGCGAUCCCUGCUCACCUGGAUACUAUUGCCCAGACCCAGCACACACAGGGCUACCUAACAGCCAAGGAGUACCUUGUAAACCUGGCUUUGAAUGCCCAGCAGGUGAUAUAACCAUGCAUCUUGGUUUUCUUUAUUUCCGUCUUUUUCUGAGUCCAGAUAGGUGAGCAGUGCACAGCGGGCAUAAGUAAUCCAGGGCUAGAUACUCAGGUGUGUUAGCAUCUCAUGCUAAAUGACUAAUUGGUUUCCAAAGGAUCUCUGUCCUUUUGUAAGCAAUAGAAACAGUAGAG
rnacentral:lncRNA from 1 species